rnacentral:rRNA from 1 species
AGAGUUUGAUCCUGGCUCAGGACGAACGCUGGCGGCGUGCCUAAUACAUGCAAGUCGAGCGAACCAAUUGAAAGCCUAGCUUUCAUGAGGUUAGCGGCGGACGGGUGAGUAACACGUGGGUAACCUGCCCUAUAGACUGGGAUAACUCGCGGAAACGCGUGUUAAUACCGGAUAACACAUCAAAGUGCAUGCUUUGAUGUUGAAAGAUGGUUCUGCUAUCACUAUAGGAUGGGCCCGCGGCGCAUUAGCUUGUUGGUGGGGUAACGGCCUACCAAGGCGACGAUGCGUAGCCGACCUGAGAGGGUGAUCGGCCACACUGGGACUGAGACACGGCCCAGACUCCUACGGGAGGCAGCAGUAGGGAAUCUUCCACAAUGGGCGAAAGCCUGAUGGAGCAACGCCGCGUGAGCGAAGAAGGUCUUCGGAUCGUAAAGCUCUGUUGUAAGGGAAGAACAAGUGCAGUAGUAACUGGCUGCACCUUGACGGUACCUUACUAGAAAGCCACGGCUAACUACGUGCCAGCAGCCGCGGUAAU